rnacentral:rRNA from 1 species
UACGUAGGGGGCAAGCGUUGUCCGGAUUUAUUGGGCGUAAAGAGCGUGUAGGCGGCCAGACAGGUCCGUUGUGAAAACUCGAGGCUCAACCUCGAGACGCCGAUGGAAACCGUUUGGCUAGAGUCCGGAAGAGGAGAGUGGAAUCCCUGGUGUAGCGGUGAAAUGCGCAGAUAUCAGGAAGAACACCCGUGGCUAAGGCGGCUCUCUAGUACGGUACUGACGCUGAGACGCGAAAGCGUGGGGAGCGAACAGG